UUCAGCAUAUAAGAACAGGUGCGUAUGCUCCGCAAUCAAAUGCAGCCGAAAGAGUUAAUCGCUCUAUUAACGCAGCCUUAAGAGCUUAUAUACGGAGUGAUCAGCGGGUGUGGGACAUUUAUUUGCCAAGUAUCAAUGCGGCUUUAAGAAAUUCCAUACACCAGUCGAUUGGCAUAUCUCCAUAUCUAGUAGUAUUCGGACAACAUAUGACUACACACGGUCAAGAUUUUAAAUUGCUUAGAAAUCUUGAGUUGCUUAGCGAUGGAACGGAAGGUUUAAAUAGAAUUGAUCAAUUUCAGAAGAUUCGUGCAGACAUUGAAAAACAUCUCACAAUGGCUUAUGAGAAAAAUCAGCAGAUGUAUAAUUUGCGUAGUAGACCACGUUCUUUUGAAGUUGGACAACAAGUGGUCAAACGGAAUUUUGCAUUAAGCAAUGCAGCAACAAAUUUUAAUGCCAAGUUAGCUCCUGUUGGAAUCAACGCUCGCAUUAAAAAGAAAAUUGGCAAUUCUUUAUACUUAUUGGAAGAUCUAACAGGGAAAGAAAUAGGCACAUUCCAUGCUAAAGACCUUUGGUAGUUCCUUGUUCACCCUUUUUCAAAUUCAAUCUUCGUCGUAAAGACUCCCAUUGAACUUGUGGUGUAGGGGUGAGCAAUGUCCGUUAAGUUGAAAUUUGAAUUUAAAUUGUAUGGCGGUAUCGAUAUUUGCGACGCGACUGUUGUGCAAGCUAACAGCUGCUCGCGAUAACAUCUGCAUUCGAUGAUUGAUGCACUCGCCAACAGAUAUAAUCAAGCAAUAUCGAUAUUCACGCUUAAUCUAGGCUAGACCAUCACUUUUCAAUUCGAAAGCUACAAAGAUAGUGUGCCGCAGCCAAAAUAUUAAAAAUAAAUCUGACGGCAUCCGUCAUAAUAUAAUAUAUAUAUUUUAUUGGUGUUGUUCGGGAGUGCGCACUUUUCAAAGUGCAUUGUUUUUAUUUUCUUUGGCCCUCUUGUUGGUUUUACAAGGUUAUUGUGUGUGCAAUCACGUGGCAACGACCACAGUACAGCACACAUCCACUGAUCUGCAACUGCAGAGGCCCCGCGCCAAAAAGGCGUGGCAA